rnacentral:rRNA from 1 species
CACCACCGGCGGACGGCUCAGUAACACGUCGGUAACCUACCCUCGGGAGGGGGAUAACCCCGGGAAACUGGGGCUAAUCCCCCAUAGGCCUGAGGUACUGGAAGGUCCUCAGGCCGAAAGGGGCUUUUGCCCGCCCGAGGAUGGGCCGGCGGCCGAUUAGGUAGUUGGUGGGGUAACGGCCCACCAAGCCGAAGAUCGGUACGGGCUGUGAGAGCAGGAGCCCGGAGAUGGACACUGAGACACGGGUCCAGGCCCUACGGGGCGCAGCAGGCGCGAAACCUCCGCAAUGCGGGAAACCGCGACGGGGGGACCCCGAGUGCCGUGGCACCGCCACGGCUUUUCCGGAGUGUAAAAAGCUCCGGGAAUAAGGGCUGGGCAAGGCCGGUGGCAGCCGCCGCGGUAAUACCGGCGGCCCGAGUGGUGGCCGCUAUUAUUGGGCCUAAAGCGUCCGUAGCCGGGCCCGUAAGUCCCUGGCGAAAUCCCACGGCUCAACCGUGGGGCUUGCUGGGGAUACUGCGGGCCUUGGGACCGGGAGAGGCGGGGGGUACCCCUGGGGUAGGGGUGAAAUCCUAUAAUCCCAGGGGGACCGCCAGUGGCGAAAGCGCCCCGCUGGAACGGGUCCGACGGUGAGGGACGAACGCCAGGGGAGCAAACCGGAUUAGAUACCCGGGUAGUCCUGGCUGUAAAGGAUGCGGGCUAGGUGUCGGGUGAGCUUCGAGCUCGCCCGGUGCCGUAGGGAAGCCGUUAAGCCCGCCGCCUGGGGAGUACGCCGCAAGGCUGAAACUUAAGGAAUUGGCGGGA